UACGGAGGGUGCGAGCGUUAAUCGGAAUUACUGGGCGUAAAGCGCACGCAGGCGGUUUGUUAAGCGAGAUGUGAAAGCCCCGGGCUUAACCUGGGAACUGCAUUCCAAACUGUCAGACUAGAGUAUGGUAGAGGCUGGUAGAAUUUCCUGUGUAGCGGUGAAAUGCGUAGAUAUAGGAAGGAAUACCGAUGGCGAAGGCAGCCAGCUGGACCAAUACUGACGCUGAGGUGCGAAAGCGUGGGGAGCAAACAGGAUUAGAUACCCGCGUAGUCC
rnacentral:rRNA from 1 species